CAUUCAGUUGGGCACUCUAAUGAGACUGCCGGUGACAAGCCGGAGGAAGGUGGGGAUGACGUCAAGUCCUCAUGGCCCUUAUAGGUGGGGCUACACACGUCAUACAAUGGCUGGUACAAAGGGUUGCCAACCCGCGAGGGGGAGCCAAUCCCAUAAAGCCAGUCGUAGUCCGGAUCGUAGUCUGCAACUCGACUACGUGAAGUCGGAAUCGCUAGUAAUCGUAGAUCAGAAUGUCACGGUGAAUACGUUCCCGGGUCUU
rnacentral:rRNA from 1 species